UUUUUUUUCUCUGUUGUUUCUUAUUCCUUUUCCUUAAAUUCGAAAUUUGUAAAAACAUGUUCAAAUCUUAAAAAAAUGUUUGGGAAUCCAUUUUUUUGUUCAUGCUUUUUAAAAGACGAUAGAUUAUGGUAUCAGCCUGAGGGGAUUCUUCGGCCUUGAUUGUAAACUUUCUUCUUUAUUGGUGUUCAUAUAUGCAAAGGCUAGGGUUCUACUCUCUUUUUAUUCUUUUUAUUUUAUUUUCUUAGGGUCUUUCGUCCCUUUUUGCCUUUCUUUUUGUUUCUUUGUCGGUUUUUUGUUUUUCUAACACAUGUCUACCUUUUUUUGUCUCACACGAUGUACAUUCUUAGAGUACACUUGAAACAUUUUUACGAUUCAUGUUCAAUAUUGUCUAAAUUCAUGAUGUACAUUCAAAAAAAAAAUGUUCGGGACACUUUUUCGGAUACAUGGCAACUUUUUUUCGAAAUACACAAUGUACAUUUUCAAUGUAAACCUUUUUCUAAACCACACAAGCAUUUGUUUUGCAUUGUAUAAAUAUUUUUUGAAAAACAUUUGUGGACACGUUUUGAAACAUGUAAUUGUUUCUUUACAAUUUCAGGUGCAUUUUUUGAAUGGGAGUAAACAUUUUAAACCUACGGUGUUACUUUUGAAAAUUGUUUCUAACAUUUUUUGAUGUCCUGAAUAAUUUUUCAAACACGGGAAUCUUUCCAUAAAGUGUGACGUACGUUUUUUAAUGGUAUUUUUUUUUGGAUUACACAUAAAAAUAACUACACUGUAUAUAAAUUUUUAGAAAUUUUGCAUGCAUUUUUUAAAACACUAAAACAUUUUUUGAAAAGUUAUCAACAUUUUAUUAGAGUUGCGCUAACAAUUUUUUUAUUAGGUUAACCUUUUUUUCAAAUACCUUGUUUUAAUUUUUCUUAAGUAAAUUUAAUGUCUUUGAACUAUAUGAUUUUAAAAUAUAAAUAAAGGGAAAAGAGAAAAAGAGAAAAAUGAGUGACAUCAGCCUGAUGAGCCACACCUAUUGGGCCGGCCCACCACCUGGCUUAUAGGUUAGGCAACAAUGUGACUUAAGCGGUACAUAGCCGCUUUACACAAAAUGUCUAGAAAACCAUAGAGGGUUAGAGCUUCUCACACCGGCACCCAGAUGGAUCCCAUCAUGAUCGUGGGAGGAGAAAUGUAUUGCAUCUUGUGAGAACGAAGAAGGUCUCGGACCUCUUAUUGGACGCUCAUUGCAUCCCGUGACGCAUGUGACGCACAUGGGUCAGCGACAACCGCCCAUUAGUAGCACCGAAGCGAUUUGUGUUUAUAGCGUAAAAAAUGCCAAACAUCAAGGCUACCGCGAGGAAUCAAACUCGCGAUGUCCCACUCCUCUAUGUGUGUUGCUAGAAACUAGAGCUAAUGGUUGUUGUUUACUGAUGGCAAUGCGGUUGUUUUAAAGUACUGCACUAUACCAUAGCAUAUAUAUAUAACAUCUUUUUUUGCGGGGAAUAUAGUUACAAUAUUUUAAAAAAUGUGAACACACUUUUUUAAUUUCAAAACAUUUUUUGAAAAGUUGUCAACAUUUUGUUAAAGUAGCGCUAACAUUUUUUUUGUACUAGGUUAACAUUUUUUCAAAUACCUUGUUUUAAUUUUUCUUAAGUAAACUUAAUGUCUUUGAACUAUAUGCAUUUAAAAUAUAAAUAAAGGGAAAAGAGAAAAAUAGAAAAUUGAGUGACAUCAGCCUGACAAGCCACACCUAUUGGGCCGGGCCGAGAACGUAUCCUGUGAAACGCCCAGAUUGGUGCAUCAAUGCACCACUAGAUUCUGGGCCACUCGAUCGAGAAUUAAUGGAUUAGAUGCAUUAGAAGAUGGGCUGUUAGUACAUUUUACAUCUUGCACCUCAUACAGUUAAUCAUUUGCAUGAAUCCUAUGGUCUCCUUCCUUUGCCUGUCUCGUGUACCUCUCUCUGUUCUCUGUACCAGGCCCUCGAGCUGCGUUGACUCUCUCUCUCCCCUUCUCCUGGACCUUCUCGCCCUUCUAUGAUCUAUCGUACCUAGUUCCGACGUCUUUAGAGGACUAGCGCCCCUCCUCUCCUCUGAGUCGCUCCCAGCGAAGAAGCCAUUGCGCCCGCGAGCGCGUACAUGUAGCGCCUUUGUGUUGUAGCUCCGGGGACGACGACGAAACUACCCAAAGGAGACGGCUAUCUUCUGCGCCUCGAGGAUCUGUGUAUGUUCACAUCAUCUGAAAAUUUGCAAGAUAAGUGAGAACAUGCUCAUCAGAAAUUCUUGCUCUGUACUUUAGCAAGUUCAUCUGAAAUUCUUGCACUGUGCUGUAGCAAGUGAGAGAAGACUCAAACAAGAUUUAUUUCUGACUACAUAUGCAGAGUUUUUCAGCUGUAUAAAUACAACUGAUAUCCAACCUGAGAAAUUGUUCUUCUCCAGGAGCAACUCACUAGGCGGUUUAAGUCGAGACUGUUUAUCUUCAUGAUGCAUAGAUUUAGGUCCCUUUUUCGAUGGAACUUGAUGCCCAAACAGAGUGUAUAAUUUCAAAUAAAGUUCACACGUACUACUUUUAAUCACAUUAGUAUGGAUUCUUAGAAUCAUUGCCCAAAUUGUUUCGCCUCAAACUGAGCUCUUCUUCUUUGAUUUCUGUUAUACGCACACCAAAUGCACCAGAAUCACAUACGGAAAUUUCAUCAUUAUCCAAUAAUAAAACAUGUGAUUGAAGAUCUGAAUAGAGAAAGAACCUCAGCUUGUUAACCAUUUGUGGCGUCGCCAAAUCGUAGCAAGCUACGCGCCGGCGGCGACAAUCUUUAGACAGGGCCAUCAUUGAGAGGGAUAUACUCCCUCCGUCCCAAAAUAACUGUCUCAAGCUUAGUACAAAUUUAUACUAGAACUAAUACAAAGUUGAGACACUUAUUUUGAGACGGAGGGAGUAGAUGGUUGCGAGAGAUAGAGGGAAGAGGGACCGCCCUAGUGUCUGGUUUAAUGGUUUUUAGUGGUUACACACAUCUGGAUCUGAGUUGGGCGGAAGAGAGCUCGCAGCGCCAUGGAUCGCCUGGUACAGAGAGAGGGGAUCCCGCAGGUAGAGGUACAGGAGAGAAGGGGAGGAGACGACAGGAUUGGAAGGACAAUUCACGCAAAUGAUUAAGGUUAACUAUACGAGAUGCAAGAUGUAAAAUGUAUGAGCAGCACAUCUUCUGAUACAUGUACUCCAAUAAUUCUUCAUCGAGUGGCCCAGUAUCUACUGGUGCAUUUGGUGCACCAGUUUGGGCGUUUCACAGGAUACGUUCUGGGGCCGGCCCACCACCUGGCUUAUAGGUGAGGCAACGGUGUGAUUUAAGCGGUACAUAGCCGCUUUACACAAAAUGUCUAGAAAACCAUAGAGGGUUAGAGCUUCUCACACUGGCACCCAAAUGGAUCCCAUCAUGAUUGUGGGAGGAGAAAUGUCUCGCAUCUUGUGAGAACGAAAAGGUCUCGGGCCUCUUAUUGGACGCUCAAUGCAUCCAGUGACGCACAUGGGUCAGCGACAACCGCCCACUAGCAGGCACCAAAGCGAUUGUGUUUAUAGCGUAAAAAUGCCAAACAUCAAGGCUACUGCAAGGAAUCGAACUCGCGAUGUCCCACUCCUCUACAUGUUUUUUGUGGAGAAUAUAGUAACAAUAUCUUAAAAAAUGUGAACAAAUUUUCCAAUUCCAGAACAUUUUUUGGACAUCAUGAGCAAAAUUUAGAAUUUUAAAAAAGGAAAAAAUGAAGAUUUUUAUAAAAACGAUAAUAAAAUUUCCAAACGCGUUUUUAUAAUUCCAAAUUAUUUUUAAUAUUUGGAACAAAAUUUGGAAACUGAUUUUGUUUUGGAAAAAAGUUGGAUAAGUUUGAAUCCCGAAAGUUUUUUAAAAGAGUGAACAAAAAUUGAAAUUCCAAACAGAUUUUUUCAUUUCAUAUAAUUUUUGAAGAUUUGAACUUUUUGGAAAAGUUACAAUUUUAUAUAUUCCAAACAUUUGUUUGAAAUGUGAACAAAAUUUGAAAUUCCGGAACAUUUUCUGAAAGCAUUGAAUACUUUUUAUUUAGAAGAUUUGAUCAUUUUUUUUUUGAAAAUUGCAAGUUAUAAAAAGAAAAAAAGGGGGAAAUAAAAAAGAACAAAAAAACCUAUAAAAAAGGCUAGAAUCUUCUAGAAGGUACCCGAAACCGGAACAAGAAAGCUUCAUGUAUAGCUAAAAAUGACCCAGCCCAAUUGGCUCGAUGUCGACGAUUGCAUGCGUGUUUUGACCACAGUUUUGCGGCCACAUGUGGCAAAUAGGAAGUCCCGAAGGUCUCGCUUGUUGCUACUAGUGGGCCAGCCUAAAUAUCUAUCUUAAUGUUCGUUUGUUUUCUCUUAUUUGCUUCUUCGUUUGUUUUCUAAAUGCAUAUAUUUUAAAAUUAUUAUUUUUAAAAUGUCACCGUCGUGAAGACCGUUCUGAAUGUUACUCUCCUCAAAUGUUAUCACUCCGGAGGAACUCGCAGAACGCAUGAGAAGUUUAUGUUCCACACGAAGUUCUGUUGCAAGUAAGAACCAUGUGUGUUGAGCUCUAACAUGUCUCACUACUAUGUCAUGUCCCUCAUUGCCCACUUUGUGUGCACGAAAUCACUAUUGAAGGAUCAUGCAUCAUUGGCCAUGUGGGCCAGAAAGGGGAACAAAACUUCUAUAGAGAAUGUAUGUGCCUUCAGAACGUGAUGGCAAUCAUCAACAAGGAUGUCGUAAGGUCAGGCGGAAUGUUCUAUAGCCCUAGAGAUACGAAAGAAGAACACGAUCGAAUAAAAGAAUCAACUAAAGCAUAUGCAUAAAUGCAGUUCAACAUAUCCGGGACGGCGCCUGGAUUUGGAGUUCAUCCCGAGAAAGAAGAUAGAAAGACAUGUGAUUAGUUGAGUUGCGAUGUUGAUGUAUAAUUUGAUGCAUGCAUGUGUUGCAUUUUUAUAUAUGGGUGCAUGUUAAUUUGAAUAUAGAUGCAUCAAUUUAUGAAUGUAUUAAUGUGAUGUCAUGCACAAAAUGCUAUUGUGGCAAAAAGGGAUGUCGUAGUAGAAAUAAAACGCUAGCUGUCACAACACAGAAAAGUUUGCCAGUGGCGUUCGAAAAUCCGAUGCCAGUGUAGUACACUGCACUGGUGAUAGUCGAGAAUGUUCAAUGUACUAGUGGCGGCAUCAUCGAUAUUAAUGGCGUGGAAAGAGUACAACAUUGUUGACCACAUAUCAGUGGUGUCAGUUAGUGAUGUGCGCUAAGUGCUUUACUAAUGACAACUUUCAAACGCCGUUAAUAGGAUUUUAUUCACUAGUGCGUCUCUCUAAUAGCCCACAUGUAAACAUUCUCUGGUAAUUCUCCUAAAAUAACAUUCUCCACUAAUAAAGUGAGCUGAAUGCACCUAAAAGAAAAUGACGAUGUGGUUGACGAGACCGCUCUUUAAUUGUUUAGAAUUAUCGUUCGUGCCGGCCAGUGUCUAAAUCGAUGAUGGAUGGUCCUUCCUCUAUCCUGCUAUGCAUUGUCCAGAUCGAUGGUGAAUGGAUCUGAAAGCUGCACGUCAUGCUUGAUGUUGAGAAGUACAAAAUCACUUUGGACCCCCUCUGCCCUAUCCUCUACACCGGAUCCCUUGCAGUUCCUAAGACCCGCAUCGCUGCACCGAGUGGACCAACAUGUCGAGGAUACUAAUUUUUUUAGGGGUAGUACAGCACGCUACUAAACGCGAGUCUUCAACCCCCGGGCAAUCCUCAGACACGGCUUAAAAUUUGAAUGAGUUUUCUCGAAAUUUCAACAAUUUAAAGGUUAGUGAAAAUAGUUGUUUUUGUUCAAAACAUGUUGGUACGCUGGAUUUGUAUGAUAAUAUAAAGUCUUGGGACCGUUCACGACAACAUCACCUUGCAUAGCACAUUGGCAGGUUAUCUUACUUUUGCUCUCUAUAGUUCUACAUUAGGACAAAGUAAAAAAAAAACCAGUUCACUAAAUUCGAAAAUUUCCAAAUUUACAAACAAACGUUGUUGCUUCAUCCGACACAAGUUUUGUACUUAUUACCGUGUUUUGGUCAUUUCAAGGAUAGGUUACAUUUUAUCUAGUUGUUUAGACUAAAAAAAUUCACACAACAUACUAGUUGAUUUGUUCCGAAAUGAUUUUCACAACUAACAAAAUGUUAGUCAUUUCGAGGGUUGACAAAAUUCUGGUUUUGAAAUCUUAAACCUUGUUCAGAUGCUAGGCCACAUGCAAUCCGAGCCUAGCUGCUCCGAGAAGGAAAGCUCCUACUCAUGUAGUCUUAUUUAUUUUAUGAUGAAAAGGCGGCAUGUGCCUUCUGAACUUCAUGAAAUGAGGGUUAUUUUAUAGGGUGGCGCGGGUUGAAGCAAAAAAUAACAAGAGAAAAAAAAUACUAUAGUGUUGUCGCCAUAAGAACUUUCAGGUCGUCAUCUUAAGGUUUAGGUAGACAUACGUCCUCCCACGCUAAUUCCUCAUGAAUCAAGAGGACAACUUCAAGGGGUUGCAAAGUGGUGUUUGGAAGACUCGUAUUCCUUUCCUUCGACCCCUAUCCCUAGGUAUAGGUUGGUUUGCCGCUUGAAGGCCUCUUUUCCUCCUUUGGCAAGGGUGUGAUGUCCCUCCCAUCAGUUUGUCGAUGCUAAAUGGGCUUGCCAUCCCAAGGGGACUGGUGCCCACUUCAAAGGCAUAAUUUGUUCCAGACCUGCUUUGUGAAUGAACAAUCUCCGCAGAAGACUACCUUGAGUCUACACUCUAUAAUAAAGAUGCCAUAACCUCUACGUGUGUCUCCUGGCCAACUUCUCCGCCUCCUCUACUUCUAUCAACAGUGACUACCUUCCCCUCAAUGAAUCCCCACGCCAUAGGUGUCUUCAACUAGAAGGUCCACGGGCUUGCUUAACCUGUAGACACGUUUGUCUUUUGUUUGCGGGUUAGUAGGUAGUCAUAUAUACCAAGCAUCGAUGCACCUUAUGAUAUCCUUGUAGUGUAUCGGGACUCGGGUGUAGAAGAUAGUCUCCAGGCCUGAGGCAAAUUCAAAGAAAAACUAAUCCUUUGAAUCCAUGAGAGUUUUUCUCCAUUGUGAGAUAUAGGUAGUAUUUUGGAAAAGACCAGAGAAAAAACCAUGAGCUUCUACAUGUUGAUUACUUCCGAAACGACCAUAGGUAGGCCAAUGCUAUCCACGCGUUAGAGGUUCAGUAGUUGACAAAUAUGGUAGUUCAAAGUAAAUUUUUAUCAAAGUGACUCAGGCCAUCCUAGGCGUAAAUUUUUCUAGCAAACAAAGUGUCAUUUCUUUAGAAACACAGUACAAUACAAAUGCUCACAAGCACAUGCACACACUAGUAUAUAUGAACCAAAACCUACAUUCUAAUCAUAUGAGCAACUUUGAGAGACCGGACCAGCAAGGCUUAACAUUGACGAAGUCACCAUAUGCGUCUCAGAGAAAAAGUCGGCUCCCACUGAGCGCAUAUUGUCAAAAAGUCUGAAAAAAUUGGUAUUUGGUAGUUGCACAUUCUAGAAAUUAUGAACAAUAUGGUCGAAGUCUUAGAAACAACUAGGAGUCUACGAGUACUUCUCAAACUGACUGGGGAAUAACAAUCCUCAAUCUCAGUUUUUAUUUCUUGGGGCGGUCAACGGCCAAAUGCAGCAAACGCUUAUUCACAGCCAUGACUCACGCUCAACACCCCCCACAUAAAUAAAAAUAAAAAUAGCAAACACUCAACCCAACGCCGAUACAGUCACCACAGCUCGAACUCGCAACAAACCAUGCGCAGCGUGCAGCAUAUGCAGAUACCAAAAACGAAGGCCGCCUGAGCUGAGACCAGGCCUGCGUAGAUGAUGGAUCAGGGAUCAUUUCUUGAGGAAUCUGCCCAUCCAUUUGCUGGACUCCUUGGGGUAGCGCUUGAGCGUGUUGCGGUCGAUGUAGAUGAG
rnacentral:lncRNA from 1 species